rnacentral:rRNA from 1 species
GUAGGGUGCGAGCGUUAAUCGGGAAUUACUGGGGCGUAAAGCGUGCGCAGGCGGUUAUGUAAGACAGAUGUGAAAUCCCCGGGGCUCAACCUGGGAACUGCAUUUGUGACUGCAUGGCUAGAGUACGGUAGAGGGGGAUGGAAUUCCGCGUGUAGCAGUGAAAUGCGUAGAUAUGCGGAGGAACACCGAUGGCGAAGGCAAUCCCCUGGACCUGUACUGACGCUCAUGCACGAAAGCGUGGGGAGCAAACAGGAUUAGAUACCCUGGUAGUCCACGCCCUAAACGAUGUCAACUGGUUGUUGGGAAUUAGUUUUCUCAGUAACGAAGCUAACGCGUGAAGUUGACCGCCUGGGGAGUACGGCCGCAAGGUUG